rnacentral:rRNA from 1 species
AGUGAACGCUGGCGGUAGGCCUAACACAUGCAAGUCGAACGGCAGCACAGUAAGAGCUUGCUCUUACGGGUGGCGAGUGGCGGACGGGUGAGGAAUACAUCGGAAUCUACUUUUUCGUGGGGGAUAACGUAGGGAAACUUACGCUAAUACCGCAUACGACCUACGGGUGAAAGCAGGGGAUCUUCGGACCUUGCGCGAUUGAAUGAGCCGAUGUCGGAUUAGCUAGUUGGCGGGGUAAAGGCCCACCAAGGCGACGAUCCGUAGCUGGUCUGAGAGGAUGAUCAGCCACACUGGAACUGAGACACGGUCCAGACUCCUACGGGAGGAAGCAGUGGGGAAUAUUGGACAAUGGGCGCAAGCCUGAUCCAGCCAUACCGCGUGGGUGAAGAGGGCCUUCGGGUUGUAGAGCCCUUUUGUUGGGAAAGAAAAGCAGCAGGUUAAUACCCCGCUGUUCUGACGGUACCCAAAGAAUAAGCACCGGCUAACUUCGUG